UCUCGAUUGGUCUAGUGGUAAGGAUACCUGCUUGUCACUGGUGUUGUGUCUAGUGUUCUCACUAGUUCGCCACAAUCAAAUCGCAGGUGGCCGGGGUUCGAUUCCCCGAUCGAGAG